rnacentral:tRNA from 1 species
GCCGCUUUAGUUAAGUGAUAUAACAGUGCACUCGUAAUGCUCAGUCACAAGUUUGAUUCUUGUAAGCGGCA